rnacentral:rRNA from 1 species
GAUGAACGCUGGCGGCGUGCCUAAUACAUGCAAGUCGAGCGAACGGACGAGAAGCUUGCUUUUCUGAUGUUAGCGGCGGACGGGUGAGUAACACGUGGAUAACCUACCUAUAAGACUGGGAUAACUUCGGGAAACCGGAGCUAAUACCGGAUAAUAUUUUGAACCGCAUGGUUCAAAAGUGAAAGACGGUCUUGCUGUCACUUAUAGAUGGAUCCGCGCUGCAUUAGCUAGUUGGUAAGGUAACGGCUUACCAAGGCAACGAUGCAUAGCCGACCUGAGAGGGUGAUCGGCCACACUGGAACUGAGACACGGUCCAGACUCCUACGGGAGGCAGCAGUAGGGAAUCUUCCGCAAUGGGCGAAAGCCUGACGGAGCAACGCCGCGUGAGUGAUGAAGGUCUUCGGGUCGUAAAACUCUGUUAUUAGGGAAGAACAUAUGUGUAAGUAACUGUGCACAUCUUGACGGUACCUAAUCAGAAAGCCACGGCUAACUACGU